GCUGUAUCAAUACAGUUGUAUUCAUUGGGUCCUUGUCAACAGCCUCUAAUUUGACUGCACCUGCAGAUGCUCCACUAUAGAAAUACAAAACAAAGCCUCAGCAGCACGUUGUAGGAGUGAUGAACAUCACCCAGUAGUGUCAGUACUGGGAAACAUCUGCUCCCAUUACUGCUGAUCAUUCAUCCAGAUCUCUCUGAAGAACAGAGCAGCACUAGUCUAGGCCUGUCAUGAUACCAAGCAGGUCUACUAAAUGGAACUCUUAUUCCCUACAUAGUGCACUACUUUAGACCAGAACCCUAUGGUUCAUAGUGCACCCAUAGUGCACUACACAGGGAAUAAGUGCCAUUUGUGUCUCCUUCUCUAUACAGGUCAACACAGGGCCUUCUCUAUACAGGGCCUUCUCUAUACAGGGCCUUCUCUAUACAGGGCCUUCUCUAUACAGGGCCUUCUCUAUACAGGUCAACACAGGGCCUUCUCUAUACAGGUCAACACAGGGCCCUUCUCUAUACAGGUCAACACAGGGCCUUCUCUAUACAGGGCCUUCUCUAUACAGGUCAACACAGGGCCUUCUCUAUACAGGUCAACACAGGGCCCUUCUCUAUACAGGGCCCUCUCUAUACAGGUCAACACAGGGCCUUCUCUAUACAGGUCAACACAGGGCCCUUCUCUAUACAGGUCAACACAGGGCCCUUCUCUAUACAGGGCCCUCUCUAUACAGGUCAACACAGGGCCUUCUCUAUACAGGUCAACACAGGGCCCUUCUCUAUACAGGUCAACACAGGGCCCUUCUCUAUACAGGGCCCUCUCUAUAC
ensembl:lncRNA